CUAGUUUGGGAUAGGUGAAGAAAC
rnacentral:miRNA from 1 species